rnacentral:sRNA from 1 species
GGGCAGCAGUGGUUGUGCUUGGACGGCUGCACCCUGUGGGGAGCAGGGAUGGGUGGGCCUGGCCGAGGCGAGCCCCUGCAUGGGAGGGUCCCCCUGUGCUGGCGCUGGGCCCCAGUCCCGGGGUCCUGUAGGCUGGGCUCAGUGAGACCUUGGGCUCAGCUUCCAGCUCACAUCUGUCAGUGAGGUUGGGGGUAACCUCGGCCCCUCCGGAUGCUGUGAGCAGUCAGGGGUCCUGGUGCCAUCUGUGGGGUGGGAGUGCCCAGCAUGAGUCUGCACAUAGAACCCCCCUUCCUGGGGGCCCCUCCCUGGGGCAUGGGUGGCCCCAGAUGCUGCCUGGAGACCACUGCGCAACCUGAAACCCCCACGUCCUUCCCAGCGACGCUUCCCUGACUUCUCCUACAUCACCCAGAAUGGCCGCCUGACAGACUUCCUGGACUGCGUGAUCAUUAGCCACUUCCACCUGGACCACUGCGGGGCACUCCCCUACUUCAGCGAGAUGGUGGGCUACGACGGGCCCAUCUACAUGACCCACCCCACCCAGGCCAUCUGCCCCAUCUUGCUGGAGGACUACCGCAAGAUCGCCGUGGACAAGAAGGGCGAGGCCAACUUCUUCACCUCCCAGAUGAUCAAAGACUGCAUGAAGAAGGUGGUGGCUGUCCACCUCCACCAGACGGUCCAGGUAGACGAUGAGCUGGAGAUCAAGGCCUACUAUGCAGGCCAUGUGCUGGGGGCAGCCAU